rnacentral:rRNA from 1 species
AACGAACGCUGGCGGCAGGCUUAACACAUGCAAGUCGAACGCAUCGCAAGAUGAGUGGCAGACGGGUGAGUAACGCGUGGGAACAUACCCUUUUCUACGGAAUAGCUCUGGGAAACUGGAAUUAAUACCGUAUACGCCCUACGGGGGAAAGAUUUAUCGGGGAAGGAUUGGCCCGCGUUGGAUUAGCUAAUUGGUGGGGUAAAGGCCUACCAAGGCGACGAUCCAUAGCUGGUCUGAGAGGAUGAUCAGCCACAUUGGGACUGAGACACGGCCCAAACUCCUACGGGAAGCAGCAGUGGGGAAUAUUGGACAAUGGGCGCAAGCCUGAUCCAGCCAUGCCGCGUGAGUGAUGAAGGCCUUAGGGUUGUAAAGCUCUUUCACCGAUGAAGAUAAUGACGGUAACCGGAGAAGAAGCCCCGGCUAACUUCGUGCCAGCAGCCGCGGUAACAC